CCUUCUAACCACCCGCGCUCUCACACUUUGCCUCCGCUCCGCCGUUUCCAUGGCUCCGGUUUCCUACUUUCCUCUUGUCUCCUCCGUCCUCAGCCUGUUCUGUAAUGUGGGAUUUACUAGAAGAGCAGGGCUGGUGUUCGAGGAGGAGAAGUUGAAAUCCUAGAGGGAGGAAGGCGGGGAAGCCAAUACUACUUGCUAUUUCCACUGCAAUGAACGUCUCUGUGUCAUCAAAAUAAGAACUUCAACCCCAAGGUUGAAACAGCCAAGCAGAAUUUGAUGGAAAUAUAUUUAGGAACAGCUAAAUUAGCAGUGCGACGCGUGUUUUCUUUUCAUUGAAGAAUUCAGCCAGUUAAAACGAGUCUAAAUGGAAGUCUGAAAGCUUUUUCUUCAUUGUUGAGGAAUAAAAUAUUUCGUGUAUUUUUCGUUUUCCAGAUUCAUUCAUUUAACAAAUAUCAGUUGAGCACUUUCCAUGCCGUAGGGCCUGUACAAGGCACAUAGCAUUCUAGACAUCUGAAGCAUCAAAACUAAUCAUUUUUAUUUUGAAGAAAAUCACUCAAAAUAUUUUAUGUACUUUGUGCCUUUCAUGAACAGAAUAUUCCAAGCAUUCUCUGCAAAAUACGCAUGAAAACAAUUGGGAGAGAAGAGGUCAAUUAUCUUUGAGAAGCCCAAUUACAGAAUGAAAUUCAAUUCAUUAUUAAAAAUACAUGGAUCUAAUAAAGAAUAAAUAAUUGGAAAAGAAAAGUUUAAGGAAGAGAGAAACGGGAAUGAGAAACAAUUACUGUGGGCUCCCAAUGGCCUGGAGUGAAUCACCAAAGUAACCUAAACAUGAAGUCAUGAAAAACUAAGUGGAUUCUGCCUUUUAGUACUUCCCAUCAUGGGGGAAGUCACCAGCGACCUCCUUACUGUAUUUUGGAUGAUUCAAGAAAUAGAAAGGUGUCCUACUGACUUCUGAAACAGGGUGUCUUCAUAUUGAUUAGGGUCACCGUAAGCCUGGGAGCUGAUGCUUACUCUCAGGUAAAGGAUGCUGUGUGAGGCUGCUUGAUGAAUGAGAAUACUAACAUUCUUCUGCAUUGAAAAAAUAUAACCUAUAAGAUGAACAUUGUAGGCCGGGCGCAGUGGCUCACGCCUGUAAUCCCAACACUUUGGGAGUCUGAGGCGGAUGGAUCACCUGAGGCCAGGAGUUUGAGACCAGCCUGGCCAACGUAGUGAAACCUCAUCUCUAUUAAAAGUACAAAAAAUUAGCCUGGUGUGGUGGUGCACACUUGUAAUCCCAGCUACUCAGGAGCCUGAGGCAGGAGAAUCAUUUGAACCUGGGAGGCAGAGGUUGCAGUGAGCCGAGAUUGCACCACUGAACUCCAGCCUGGGCAACAGAGCCAGACUCUGUCUCCAAAAAAAAAAAAACAUGAACAUGGUAUGCUUUGUUAACUUCAUUGUACAUUCUCCUCCAAGUAGGAAAGUUUCUAUGAGGAAAUAAAUUUAAAUCAAAAAGUGGCUUGGCAAAUGUAGAGUAAAUGAUCACAAGGGAUGAUGUCAUCAAGCUAAACUAAUCUGAAGCACCCUUUACUAUAAGGACAUACUUAGAAGCAGACUGAAAUAGCACCAUUAGCCAGUCAUGGCACCUUUUCCCCUUUCAUCACCCUUUCAUCACCCUUUCAUCAGAAACACAACUGGCAAGAUUUUUGUUAAUUCUCUAACUGUCCUAUUUCAUUUUUAAAAAAUUAGCUGCUAAAAAUGUUAUAUCAUUAUAACACUUCCUUAUAACAUUAAAAGUUUUAAAGGCUUUUAUCCUCACAUUGGUUCCAUUUUGAAUUCUAGCCUUAUUUGUCAGUAUCAGUCUGUAGUUCAGAUCUUCCAUGAUUAUUUCUCCACAGGAUGACUGGUCUCAUCCAUUUAAUAUUGAUUCUUCUUAGCGUUCUACUCAUUUGACAUUUUCUGACCUUGCCUUAAAAUUCUGGAUAUAUCCUGUUUUACUUCCUUAGGCCAUUCUAAAGUCCUACAGUAUCCAGAUGAGAAACGAGAGAAAGCAUAAGCUUUGGAGUCCAAAGAUCAGGAUUUUAGCGUCAGCACUCCACACCUUAGCUAUACAAUCUCAAAGCAGCCUGCACCUGUGGCCUCAUGGCGCAUUCUCUACAAUCAGUUGACAGAGGAAGAGAAGACUCAGGCCUGGUUUACAGAUGAUUUUGCAUUCUACGCAGAUCUUAUCACAAUGAAU
rnacentral:lncRNA from 10 species